UAGGGAAUCUUCGGCAAUGGGGGCAACCCUGACCGAGCAACGCCGCGUGAGUGAAGAAGGUUUUCGGAUCGUAAAGCUCUGUUGUAAGAGAAGAACGUGUGUGAGAGUGGAAAGUUCACGCAGUGACGGUAACUUACCAGAAAGGGACGGCUAACUACGUGCCAG
rnacentral:rRNA from 1 species